UUGAAAUUAUCAUCUUGAUGCAUGUUUACUCGAGAUCGGAUUAGGAUCGAUUCACAACAGGAUUGAUAAGUAGUUGUGUUUGGGAUAGAACUUGAAAUGAAAUAGAUCUCAUACACUUAUCAUGGUAGUGUGUUGAUCCCUCAAAAGAUAAUGGCCAACCUUAGAGUCAAAUCAUUAAAUGGCUAGAAAUGUAAUUCACAAAAUGAACAUGUACUUAUGAUCAUUAGAUAGCAACGGUCUAUCUCAAAGAUGAUUUGCAUCAAAUCACAAGAGCAGAUCUGAGAAGGCAAAGUAUUGAUACCAUGAUUCAAUAUGCCACGAAGCUUUUAACUUAAAC
rnacentral:lncRNA from 1 species